UUGGAGGCAAGUCUGGUGCCAGCAGCCGCGGUAAUUCCAGCUCCAAUAGCGUAUAUUAAAGUUGUUGUGGUUAAAAAGCUCGUAGUUGAACCUUGGGCCUGGCUGGCCGGUCCGCCUCACCGCGUGUACUGGUCCGGCCGGGCCUUUCCCUCUGUGGAACCCCAUGCCCUUCACUGGGUGUGGCGGGGAAACAGGACUUUUACUGUGAAAAAAUUAGAGUGCUCCAGGCAGGCCUAUGCUCGAAUACAUUAGCAUGGAAUAAUAGAAUAGGA
rnacentral:rRNA from 1 species